GGCAUCGAAAAGCGAAUUACGUUUCGAUGUUAGCACGGUCAAAUGCUGGAUGUCCCUCCACGUCAGAGAUGGACUACGGUGAUUCAACGAAUACAACUGCAACGUUUUUCGCAGUAAAAGGAACUGGGAGCAUCUGCGCUGUGACUUACGAAAAAUUCGGAUACAGAUCGAGCGAUAUCCGUCAGCAAAGAGGAGGAAUGAAUCACGUAAGCGAUGGAACGUUUUCGUGUGCUGGCUGGUCUGGAUGUGCGUAUGUAGCAGAUAGUAUUACCUAUUAUGAUUGCGAAAGACUAUCUCACUACACUCUAGGACGUUUCCGCUGCUGUUUCUCUGCUUUUGCGUAACUGGAUGCGGGAAAUGAGUUAUUGAUUUGUCGGUGACGCGGUUCGAUUUGGUACACCCUUAUAUUUACUAUCCAUCAACCUUUUUCUUUCGGUGUGUUUUUUUUUUUUUUCCCCCUUUCUGUCAGUUGCAUUUCACAUGUACCCUGUGGGUGUAAACAAAAUGCUAGAUUGAAAAUGUGGGAAGUUGACGGUGGCCUCCGA